rnacentral:pre_miRNA from 1 species
UGAACAGAUUAUUGUAUUCGACUGUAUUCGACUGCGUAAAACAGGGGAUUAUACUAUUUUUAAAUGGAAAGUGAAUCAAUUAACAUAAUAAACUCCU